rnacentral:rRNA from 1 species
CGCGUAGGUGGUUGUGUAAGUCAGAUGUGAAAUCCUCAAGGCUCAACCUGAGAACUGCAUCUGAUACUGCAUGACUCGAGUGCAGCAGAGGGAAACGGAAUUCCUGGUGUAGAGGUGAAAUUCGUAGAUAUCAGGAGGAACACCGGCGGCGAAGGCGGUUUCCUGGGCUGACACUGACACUGAGGCGCGAAAGCGUGGGUAGCAAACAGGAUUAGAUACCCUGGUAGUCCACGCUGUAAACGGUGAAUACUGGGUGUGGGAGGUGUAAUGCCUUCUGUGCCGAAGCUAACGCGUUAAGUAUUCCGCCUGGGGAGUACGGCCGCAAGGUUGAA